rnacentral:rRNA from 1 species
UACGUAGGGGGCUAGCGUUGUCCGGAUUUAUUGGGCGUAAAGAGCGUGUAGGCGGCCAGGUAGGUCUGGUGUGAAAACUCGAGGCUUAACCUUGAGAUGUCAUCGGAAACCAUCUGGCUAGAGUCCGGGAGAGGAGAGUGGAAUUCCUGGUGUAGCGGUGAAAUGCGCAGAUAUCAGGAAGAACACCCGUGGCGAAAGCGGCUCUCUGGAACAGUACUGACGCUGAGACGCGAAAGCGUGGGGGAGCGAACAGG